rnacentral:rRNA from 1 species
CAGCUACCUGGUGACAGGAUGCGAAUCUCGAAAGCCGGUCUCAGUUCGGAUUGGAGGCUGAAACUCGCCUCCAUGAAGUUGGAUUCGCUAGUAAUCGCGCAUCAGCCAUGGCGCGGUGAAUACGUUCCCGGGCCUUGUACACACCGCCCGUCAAGCCAUGGGAGUUGGGGGUGCCUGAAGUACGUGACCGCAAGGAGCGUCCUAGGGCAAAACCGAUGACUGGGGCUAAGUCGUAACAAGGUAGC